GACGAACGCUGGCGGCGUGCCUAAUACAUGCAAGUAGAACGCUGAAGAGAGGAGCUUGCUCUUCUUGGAUGAGUUGCGAACGGGUGAGUAACGCGUAGGUAACCUGCCUUGUAGCGGGGGAUAACUAUUGGAAACGAUAGCUAAUACCGCAUAACAAUGGAUGACACAUGUCAUUUAUUUGAAAGGGGCAAUUGCUCCACUACAAGAUGGACCUGCGUUGUAUUAGCUAGUAGGUGAGGUAAUGGCUCACCUAGGCGACGAUACAUAGCCGACCUGAGAGGGUGAUCGGCCACACUGGGACUGAGACACGGCCCAGACUCCUACGGGAGGCAGCAGUAGGGAAUCUUCGGCAAUGGGGGCAACCCUGACCGAGCAACGCCGCGUGAGUGAAGAAGGUUUUCGGAUCGUAAAGCUCUGUUGUAAGUCAAGAACGGGUGUGAGAGUGGAAAGUUCACACUGUGACGGUAGCUUACCAGAAAGGGACGGCUAACUACGUGCCAGCAGCCGCGGUAAUACGUAGGUCCCGAGCGUUGUCCGGAUUUAUUGGGCGUAAAGCGAGCGCAGGCGGUUUGAUAAGUCUGAAGUUAAAGGCUGUGGCUCAACCAUAGUUCGCUUUGGAAACUGUCAAACUUGAGUGCAGAAGGGGAGAGUGGAAUUCCAUGUGUAGCGGUGAAAUGCGUAGAUAUAUGGAGGAACACCGGUGGCGAAAGCGGCUCCCUGGUCUGUAACUGACGCUGAGGCUCGAAAGCGUGGGGAGCGAACAGGAUUAGAUACCCUGGUAGUCCACGCCGUAAACGAUGAGUGCUAGGUGUUGGAUCCUUUCCGGGAUUCAGUGCCGCAGCUAACGCAUUAAGCACUCCGCCUGGGGAGUACGACCGCAAGGUUGAAACUCAAAGGAAUUGACGGGGGCCCGCACAAGCGGUGGAGCAUGUGGUUUAAUUCGAAGCAACGCGAAGAACCUUACCAGGUCUUGACAUCCCGAUGCUAUUUCUAGAGAUAGAAAGUUACUUCGGUACAUCGGUGACAGGUGGUGCAUGGUUGUCGUCAGCUCGUGUCGUGAGAUGUUGGGUUAAGUCCCGCAACGAGCGCAACCCCUAUUGUUAGUUGCCAUCAUUCAGUUGGGCACUCUAGCGAGACUGCCGGUAAUAAACCGGAGGAAGGUGGGGAUGACGUCAAAUCAUCAUGCCCCUUAUGACCUGGGCUACACACGUGCUACAAUGGUUGGUACAACGAGUUGCGAGUCGGUGACGGCGAGCUAAUCUCUUAAAGCCAAUCUCAGUUCGGAUUGUAGGCUGCAACUCGCCUACAUGAAGUCGGAAUCGCUAGUAAUCGCGGAUCAGCACGCCGCGGUGAAUACGUUCCCGGGCCUUGUACACACCGCCCGUCACACCACGAGAGUUUGUAACACCCGAAGUCGGUGAGGUAACCUUUUGGAG
rnacentral:rRNA from 1 species